rnacentral:rRNA from 1 species
GACGAACGCUGGCGGCGUGCUUAACACAUGCAAGUCGAACGAGACGAUUGAAAGCUUGCUUUUAAAAGUCGAGUGGCAAACGGGUGAGUAACGCGUAGACAACCUGCCUUUGAGAUGGGGACAACAGUUCGAAAGGACUGCUAAUACCGAAUGUUGUAUAUUUUCCACAUGGAAGAUAUAUUAAAGAUGGCCUCUAUUUAUAAGCUAUCGCUCAAAGAUGGGUCUGCGUCUGAUUAGCUGGUUGGUGGGGUAACGGCCUACCAAGGCGACGAUCAGUAGCCGGGCUGAGAGGAUGAACGGCCACAUUGGGACUGAGACACGGCCGAGACGCCUACGGGAGGCAGCAGUGGGGAAUCUUCCACAAUGGACGAAAGUCUGAUGGAGCAACGCCGCGUGAGUGAAGAAGGGUUUCGGCUCGUAAAGCUCUGUUGUCGGGGACGAAUGUGCAGUAUUUGAAUAAAGUACUGCAAUGACGGUACCUGACGAGGAAGCCACGGCUAACUACGUGCCAGCCGCCGCAGUAA